rnacentral:tRNA from 1 species
GCGGUGGUAGCGUAGUGGUUAAGGAGCUGGGCUAACGACUGAGAAGUUGUAGGUUCAAUUCCCAGCUUCCACC